GACGCAGCAAACUGUGCGUCWUCGUGUGAACUGCAGGACACAUGAMCAUCGACAUUUUGAACGCAUAUCGCAGUCCAUGCUGUUAUGUACUUUAAUUAAUUUUARAGUGCUGCUUGGACUACAUAUGGUUGAGGGUUGUAAGAUUAUGCUAAAUAAGUUGUUUAAAUUUCUUUAGAAUUUUAAGCAUAUGGUAUAUUAUUGGGUAUUAUAUGUAUAGAGUUGUAAGGCUUUGCACAUAACAUAUUCAUAAUAUUAACUAAUAAAUGGAAUUUACUAUACCUCUAUGUUGUAUAUAUUUGUAAGAGGAAUUUGAAGAAAUAUAAUUUCUUUAUUCUAAUCAAAUAAUACUGAGGAAAGUCUAGCAUAAAAAAAAAUUUUUUUUUAACURGAAUUGCCUCUUAUUAAUGAUGGGAAAAAGAAUAAAACGUUGAAAAAUAUUAKGGAACUUCAAAAAAUUUAGUACAUUUCAUAACUUUAAAAUUAACAUCAUGUUUAUUUUAACGAUUAUUAUUAUAAUUAUACAACCUCAACUCAUAUGGGACUACCCCCUGAAUUUAAGCAUAUUAAUUAGGGGAGGAAAAGAAACUAACAAGGAUUUUCUUAGUAGCGGCGAGCGAAAAGAAAUCAGUUCAGCACUAAGUCACUUUGUCUAUAUGGCAAAUGUGAGAUGCAGUGUAUGGAACAUCAAUAUUCUAGUAUGAGAAAUUAACGAUUUAAGUCCUUCUUAAAUGAGGCCAUUUACCCAUAGAGGGUGCCAGGCCCGUAUAACGUUAAUGAUAUUAGAUGGUGUUUCCAAAGAGUCGUGUUGCUUGAUAGUGCAGCACUAAGUGGGUGGUAAACUCCAUCUAAAACUAAAUAUAACCAUGAGACCGAUAGUAAACAAGUACCGUGAGGGAAAGUUGAAAAGAACUCUGAAUAGAGAGUUAAAUAGUACGUGAAACUGCUUAGAGGUUAAGCCCGAUGAACCUGAAUAUCCGUUAUGGGAAAUUCAUCAUUAGAAUUGUAAUAUUUCAUCAAUAUUAUAAUAAUAGUGUGCAUUUUUUCCAUAUAAGGACAUUGUAAUCUAUUAGUAUCAUUAAAUUUAUCAAAAAAUUUUAGAUAAUUGCUUAUUUGAAUUAAAAUGCUUGCGUUUUAACAUAAAAUAAAUGUCAUAAAUUUGAUAAAGUGCUGAUAGAUUUAUAUGAGUACAGUGCGUUAAUUUUUCGGAAUUAUAUAAUGGCAUGAUUAUCAUUGAUUUUUGUGUUUAUUAUAUGCAUUUGUAUGAUUAACAAUGCGAAAGAUUCAGGAUACCUUCGGGACCCGUCUUGAAACACGGACCAAGGAGUCUAACAUAUGUGCAAGUUAUUGGGAUAAAAACCUAAUAGCGUAAUUAACUUGACUAUUAAUGGGAUUAGUUUUUUAACUAUUUAUAGUUAAUUAACACAAUCCCGGGGCGUUCUAUAUAGUUAUGUAUGAUAAUAUUUAUAUUAUUUAUACCUCUAACUGGAACGUACCUUGAGCAUAUAUGCUGUGACCCGAAAGAUGGUGAACUAUACUUGAUCAGGUUGAAGUCAGGGGAAACCCUGAUGGAAGACCGAAACAGUUCUGACGUGCAAAUCGAUUGUCAGAAUUGAGUAUAGGGGCGAAAGACCAAUCGAACCAUCUAGUAGCUGUUUUCCUUCCGA
rnacentral:rRNA from 1 species